GCCGGGCGUGGUGGCGGGCGCCUGUAGUCCCAGCUACUCGGAGGCUGAGGCGGGAGAAUGGCGUGAGUCCGGGAGGUGGAGCUUGCAGUGAGCCGAGAUCGCGCCACUGCACUCCAGCCUGGGCGACACAGCGAGACUCCGUCUCAA
ensembl:misc_RNA Metazoa_SRP Metazoan signal recognition particle RNA